CCAGUCCUGAAAAGACAAAUUGGGGUGGUGAAGGAGCAAAAAACAGGAGGGAAAACUUCAUGAAUUGGACCAGGUUAUAGAACAGCUGGUCAAUCGUCCGCUGCAAUAGAUCACUGCUGACCGGAAGGUUGGGAAAUUCAAAGCCUGAGUCGGAUUGAGCGCCCGACUGUUAGCCUAGAUCACUGUCCACCUUAGCAGCGCGAAAACAGUUGAGAGAAAUUAGGCUCCGCUUAAGGCGAGGAGGUAUUUGAGGACACACUAAAAAUGCCGGCGAUCAAGGAACAAGGAGGGAAAAUUCUGCCACCAAAAGGGCUCGUCGUCAUCAAAGCGGAUGGAGCAACAGCUCCCCCUGUGGCCGGAAUUGAGCACAACCUCCAGAUAUUGAAUUCGCAGCAAGUGUGGCGCAGACGGGAGAGCAAGCCAGUGCAAUUAACUGCAAUGAAUCACUGACCAGGAGGUCAUGAGUUCGAGGCCGCUCGGAGCCUAUGUUUGUCUUGUCUUUGUCCUAUGUUAAAAGUCAUUGAAUGUUUGCCUACAUGUGUAAUGUGAUCCGCCCUGAGUCCCCUUCGGGGUGAGAAAGAAGGGCGGAAUAUAAAUGAUGUAAAUAAAUAAAUAAAUAAAUAAAUGCUCUGCUUA